rnacentral:lncRNA from 1 species
AUGAAGAUGUCAGGACGGUGUUACAACUGGUUCCAGGAGCCUCACGUCCAUGGCAGGCAGGAAUGCGGGAGCGCGUUUCCAAACUCGCAGAACUGGCCACAAUCCAUGGGGCAGAGUCGAGAGCGUUCCGCCGGACAUGUCGCUUGCGUUUCUGCGGACAAGGAUCAUUAUGCUUUAUUAGGGGUUUUCUACAACUUGCAGAGCGGCAGAAUAGCUCAAAAACUAUGCAAGGCGAAAGUAACCCCAAAAGAUGUGCCAGACAGCACGUCCGUGAAUCUUUUCUGCCCAUUUCGAAGUCUUUCAUGGUUUUCCCUGACGUGCGCCUGGCCAGUUAACGGGACAGCCCUCCAGCUAAGGGAAAUGCGAGGAAGAAAUGGGGCCCUGGAGGCCUGUGGCCCCUGGGAGGAAGGGCUGGGGCGUGUGGGGCUCAGGGCGGCAUUGGGGAAUGGAGUUGCCCUGGACGGCAGGAGGACGGGAGGGGCUGGCAGGAGAAGCGGGGCACCAGGACCACCUUCCUGUACUCCUCUUUUCCUUAAAGAGGCUGAGAGCAGCUGCUACUUAAUCCUCAUCUCGUCUUCUCUGGCCCUGCAAGCCUUCUCCCGCCUGGUCCCUGUGCAGUGGGGGACACACCUGGGGAGAGCUCAGCUGGCCAGGGGGCUCGGGGAGACUGGGACUGUGUUGAGAGAGGCCCCCGGCUCAGCAGCCAGGAGAGCUGACGCUGCGGCCGGCCAGGACCCGGCAGCUUCCGUUCUUCCAGGGGCAGGAAGAGGAGCUGGAGGAGCACCGGGCAGCGGCCUCUCCUUUCCUAACGUCCCAGAGCCCGGAGCAGGAACACCUCGUGGGUCCCAGGGUAGGGAGGGCCGUAGGUCAUGGCGGAAGCUUGACCAUCCUGUGUCAUUUUCCGAAGGGGCCCAGGAGGUUUGCUCGGAGAGUCCGACUGGGGCCGAUGCCUCCCGAGAUCAGGAGGGCGGGUCUGAGCGGGCAGGGCCGCGGCCGGGCAGCUCCCCGGUCAGCCUGGGGGUGCAGUGGGCAGCAGAAGGUCAUCUGGUCUCAGAGUCCGGGGCAUGCCAGCCUGGCAGGGACCCUGAAUCACGGGGGGACUCGACUAAACUCCAAGUGCCGCAAAAAGAAGAAAAUGCUAUUUCACAGACUUCCUCGUGGAGACUUUUGUGUAGGACGCAGCUCUGA